rnacentral:lncRNA from 1 species
UGGUGGUGGUGGGUCUGGCUCUUCCUUUGGGCUAAUACAAUUUUCGAAAAAAAAUAUUGUUGUUGUCAGUGUAAUUGGCAGGAUAUUAGCAGGGGUUGUCCUGCCGCGUCCCAGUCAACGGAUUACGUUGGGCAUUAUGAGCAAAUUAAGUGUGAAGUGGCAUUUGAGAUUUACGCACACACACAGAACGAGGAAUACUCAGGGGCAAACACAGGGAUACUGAUGCUACGGAUGCGGAUGCGGAUACUGAUGCUGAUGCUGAUGCUGAGGCGCUUAGCGACUCUGUCCUGCCACUUUAAAGUCCAACACAAAACCGACAAAAACUAACAAAACAGGCACCGAACAAAGGGCCUGAACACAAACAGGGAAAGUCGACGAAAGGCGUCACAUGUCAAAGGCUCUUAGUCAUUUUUAGAUCUCCUUCCCUUGGCCCAAAAACAAACUAACAUUUAACCCCUGGCAGAGGACCACGAUGGGGCCCAACUACCAUCCCUCAGAACCAUCCCAUUCGCCCACUACUCAUCCUAGCCUGAGCUUAUCAUUUACACUUAAAGGCUCAGGCUCUGGCCAGACUCUAGCUCGGAAGGGGGGGCAACGCUGGGCACGUGCCGGGGCAUUAUUAACCGCAAAAUGCUCAUAAAGGAUCAAUUUGUGAGCACACGUGUCGGGACAAUGCUCCACCCCCAUGCAACCUCUCCCUCCAGUCUCCGGCCAAAGGGCAGGCAAGACAAAGCGUGAAGUUCACAUAAAUCAAAGCAACGGCUGCCAAAUGGACAAAGAUGAUGACAAGGAAGAGGCGACGGCAGACAGACACAAACGGCACUGCACUGCUGGAAGAAUAUGCAAUUUAAAGUGUCGCCCAUCUGCACAAAGGACAUCAUUAAACAUGCAAAAGGACCAUAGGCUUGGGUGUGUGGUGUGAAGCAAAGGAAACUCUUGCGAUUUAUGACAGAAGCUUGGGAUUUGGCCAGGCGAAGAGUGUGCUUAGGUGCUAUGAUUCAAAUUACCUGUAAAACUCAACGAACAAUGAAAGUUGAACACCAACAAGCGAUCAAAAGGAAUAAGCAGUAUUCGCAGAAAAUGUCACAUUUUGUCUAUAACAAUUCUACACUUUACCAUAAUAAUUAGACGCACAUUAAAAACAAAUUAUAUUCUGAAAGCGUUUUGGCGCCAAUAUUCUUUUGUUUUGGUUAUCGGCGCAGGGUUGCAAUUUAGCUUCUUCAGCAUCAGUAUCAGUAAC